AACCCAUGGUGAGCGUACCUUCUCAAUAAAUCCUUGUACCUCUUUCAUGCAUCAUAUAAAGUCUUUAAAUCUAUCUGUACAAAGGAAGAUAUGUCGUUCCUCAACUU
rfam:Gossypium arboreum cultivar AKA8401 contig_38148_3, whole genome shotgun sequence.